rnacentral:rRNA from 1 species
UACAGAGGGUGCAAGCGUUGUUCGGAAUCAUUGGGCGUAAAGGGUGUGUAGGUGGCGCGCUAAGUCGGGUGUGAAAUUUCGGAGCUUAACUCCGAAACUGCAUUCGAUACUGGCGUGCUUGAGGACUGGAGAGGAGACUGGAAUUCAUGGUGUAGCAGUGAAAUGCGUAGAGAUCAUGAGGAAGACCAGUGGCGAAGGCGGGUCUCUGGACAGUUCCUGACACUGAGACACGAAGGCCAGGGGAGCAAACGGG